GGUCAGGGUCAGGGGUCCCACUCUGUGGGUUGUGUAUUUACUCUGCUGACUGUUCCCUUUGCCAUGCAAAAGCUCUUUAGUUUAAUUAAGUCCCAGAUAUUUAUCUUUGUUUUUAUUGCAUUUGCAUUUGGGUCCUUGGUCAUGAAAUCCUUGCCUUUGCCAAUGUCUAGAAGGGUUUAUCCAGUGUUAUCUUCUAGAAUUUUUAUAGUUCAGAAAAUAGGUUUAAGUUCUUAAUCCAUCUUGAGUAGAUUUUUGUAUAAGGUGAGAGAUGAGAAUGCAGUUUUAUUCCCCUACAUGUGGCUCGCCAAUUAUCCCAACAUCAUGUGUUGAAAAGGGUGUCCUUUCCCCCAUUUUAUGUUUUUGUUUACUUUGUCGAAGACCAGUUGGCUGAUUAUACUUGGGCAUAUGUCUAAACAAAACACGUAUAGAUCUGUAUGCAGAAAAUCAUGAAACACUAAAGCAAGAAAUUAAAGAACACUUAAAUGAACAGACUUGUUAUAUUAAUGAACUGGAAAACUCAAUGUGAGAAAGACAGAUCUACUGAUUUAACAUAAUGUCAAUGAAAAUACCAGCUGAAUUUUUGGGUAGAUAUAAAUAAGCUGAUUCUAAAAUGCAUGGAAAGGCAUGCAUUCCAUUUAUAUGGAAAGGCAAAGGAACCAGAAUAGCUAAAAACAAUUUUGGAAAAAAAGAAUAAAUUUGGAGGAAUCAGACUAUCCUAAGAUUUACUAUCAAGCUACAGUAAAUAUGACAUCUUGGUACUGGUGAAGAGAUACACACAUAGAUCAAUUUAGCAGAACAUAGUACAGAAAUAAACCCAAACAAGUGGUGUUGGGAUGGUUGGUCAUUCAUAUGUAAAGAAAUAAACCCCAACUUAACCAUCGCAUAUUAUUAAAAAGUUAACUCACAAUGGAUCACAGAUUUAAGUGUAAAACCAUAAAACGUCUAGAACAAGAGAAAAUCUUCAUGACCUGGGGCUAGGCAGACUUCUUAGACAUGACAUCAAAAGCACAAUCCAAAAAAGAUAACAUCGAUAAAUCAGAUGUCAUUAAAAUUAGAAAUUUUGUUCUGCAAAAGACACUAUUAAGAGAAUGAAAAGACAAGCUACAGGCUGAGAAGAAAUAUUUGCAAAUCACACAUCCAAAAAAGGACUUAUAUCCAGAAUAUAUAAAUAGCUUUCAAAAAUCAACAAUAGGAAAAAUAUAACCCAUUGUAAAACUGGGCAAAGCAUGCAUACAGACACUUCCGCAAAGAAGAUAUAAGGAUGGCAAAGAAACAACAACAAAAAAGUAAUAUCUGCUGAACACCAUUAGCCAUUAGGGAAAUGUAAAUUAAACUCACAAUGCUUAGAAUGGCUACAAUAAAAAAAUAAGGAAAAUACUAAGUGCUGAUGAAGAUGUAAAUAAACUGGAAAUUUCUACAUCAUUAGUGAGAAUGCAAAAUGGCACAGAUACUACAAUUUGACAGUUUCUUAUAAAGUUAAACAUGCAUUUCCCAUAUGACCCAGUAAACAUACUCCUGGCUUCGUAUGCUACAGAAAUAAGCACAAAAAAACUAUACAUGAAUGUUUAUAUCAGCUCUAUUGAUAAAUGCCAAAAAGUGGGGGAAAAAGUCUAUCAACCAGUGAAUAGAUGAACUGUGAUAUAUCCAUAAAGUGGAUACUUCCGUUAACCAGAAGUAAAAGAAAUGAAGUAUUGAUACGUAUAACAACUUGGGUGAAUGUCAAGAGCAAUUUGCUGAGUAAAAGAAUCCGGUCUCAAAUGUUACAUAUAGCAUCAGUCCAUUUAUAUGACAUUCUCAAAAAGACAAAGCUGUAGAGUUUUAGUGCUUAUGGUAGUUGCCAGUGGUUACAGGUAUGGUGAGGGGUAAUUAUGAGGGAAGACAUGAGCAGAGUUUUUGGGGUGAUGGAAAUGUUCUUUUUCUGACUACGGUAGUCAUUACACAAACUAUGCCUGUGUUGUAAUAGAAUUGUACACCAAAAAUAACAAAAUAGUCAAUUUUACUGUAGAAACAUUUCUUAAAAACCUGUUUUAAAAACCUGGAAACACAAUCUCAGUUAUAAGGCAUGGUCUAUAAAUGUUGUUAUCAUUUCUAACAAUUUGUUUCCAGGGAUUUUUUUUUUAGAUUAUCGAAACAUAACCAAUCAUUGCUCUUCAACUCUUCAAUACUCUGAAAUAGUUGGUGGAUUAUAUAGCCUACCAAUAUUAAGUGAGAUUAAGGAAUAUAUCCAGGGGUUAUUUCUAUUCUAUUUUGAUACCUAAUUCCAAUUCUACACUGCAAAUCCUUGAUGCCAGCUGUCUGUUGAGUAGCUACUCUAACCAUAAACACUUAACAACUUUGUACGAUGUCCUGGACACAUAGAGAAAAAUAUGACAUGGUCCCAGAAAUAGAAGAACUUUCAGUGUAUGGACUUAGAUAAAGAGAAAUAAGAAACAAAGAGCUAUAAGACUAAGGCAAGGCAAACUCUAUACUGGAACACAAAAUUCAGCACCAUUCUUCUCCAAGGUACAACUCUCUUGCGUCCCCUAGCGUCCUCAAGUAAGGACCAUUCUGUAAGCUGCAACGAAUGAAAACCUUAGAGUAGCUGCUGGCAUUUCCCUUUCACGGUCUUGGAUAUAAGCAAUUUAUGAUCAUCAAUGUUUGACAAUUAUGACAAUCAAUCAAACAAUAUUAUACUAAGUCGAUGUUAGAGAUUUGGUUUAAAAUACUGAAACCAAAAAAAAAGGGGCAUGGAGUUGAUCCGAGACAGGCAAAUGUUAACAAAGGUUGAAGCUGGGUGAUGCUUCCACAGAAUUAUUUUAGUCAUAUUACAUUUGGCUAUGCUUAUAAAUUUCCAUAGUAAAAACUUAAGGGAAAAAUAAAAGCUAUGAAGUCUAUUUGGUUAAACAUGGGUAAAAAUCCAAAAAGAAGUCUACUGGAAGAGGAAAACAUUGAAUUAAUAUUGUUAUUGUUAUAUCUUGUGGUUAGCAUAAUUAAUUUUUUUCUUUUACUCUUUCUAUACUUUCUUAAUCUUUUACAAUAUGCAAUCAUUUAUAUAAUCAGAAUAUGAACGUAAAUAUUUCAAAUAAAAUUAAAUUACAGAUAACUAAAAAAAAUAAAAAAUUCAAAGCUCAUUAACCUCGCUUUUACGGUCCUCUAGAAAAAUCCAAACAUGUCUUCUGAAGCUGACACUAAACACAUCAAGAACUAAGGCAAUGGAUGGAAACUAUCUGAAUUCAAAUCUCGGCUCAGGCUCUUACCACCUGGGUGACCUAAAGAUAAACCACCUAUGCUGUGUGUCUCUAUGCUUUUCUUUAAGAUGGGAAUGGUGGCACCCAACCCAGCCUCAAAGGGCUCUUGUGAGGAUUAAAUAUGUUGAUUCAUAUCAAACUCUUAGAAUGAUCAGCACUCAAUGUUUAAAUACUAUCUUUAUUAUUCAUGCCCAAGUUCUCCCUCAUCCGUUUCUGCAUUUAUUGAACAAAUAUCAGGGCAUCUUCGAGCAGAAUUUGCCAAUGAAUGAAGGAAAUAUCGUCUCCCCUGGGAAGAAAGGAUGAUAAGUACUACUCAAGUGAGACUCCGCUGCCAAGUGCCAAAGGGUUAUUCCCUCCUUCUCCCUGCAGCCUUUUUCAAGAAGUCAAGGCUAAAGAAGGAAAGGAGGAUGGGAGAAAUCAGAACUCCUGCAUGAAUUACAGUGGACUGCCCAGACAGCCCGGAGUGAUCCUCUCCUAAAGAAAAAUCUCUCAGUGAUCAGAAAAGGGCCAGGGAUACUCUGCAGCUGGAGCUCUGACCCCAUCCUGGGCUCACAGAAGCUUUCAGGGAACUGAGUCCUUCUCAGAAAAUUAAAAAGUGCUAAUAACAAGAGACCCAUCUUCUACCACCUGUCAGGCUCUGUUCCAAGCCUUUUUAUUUAACUCUCAAAAGAACUCCAUUAGAUAGAUACUAGUACCAUUUUAAAGAAAAAGAAACAUAGGCAGAGAGAUUAAGAUACUCGCCUUUUAUUAUACUGCUAGGAAAUGGCAGAGCUGGCUGAUGGUCAGGGGAAAGGGCUGGGGGAGUACAGAACCCAGGAGAUUCCCCAGUCCCUGCGAUGUAGGAUCCCGGACCCCCUGCGCUAAGUGGAGAUGCGCCAGCUGCCCCACACUGGAGAAGGCUCAAAGAAAACAAAUCCCACCCUUCGCCGCAGGUGGAUUCUCCUCCCCUAGGGCUACUGUCCAGUUGCUACUGGCCUCCCGCAAAACGAACAUCAGUAUAGACGGAAGGAGCAGGACGCAGGGCGGGGAGGGUCACCUUUCUGGGAGGAAAGAAGGCCGCGACCUAGCGUACCUUGGGCGGAAGUGGCUCUCCCUACGGAGACCUCCUGGACUACGCUUCCCAGAAUUCUCGACGGGAUCAGGGAGACGGCCUCAGCCUCCUAGAGCGGAAGUUACACGACUACACGGGGCUCCCAAACUACACUUCCCAGAAUUCCUAGAAAAACUCUCCACUCUCUGCCUGCCUAGGACGCAAGUGCAGGGUGCCAAGCGGAGAGCCUGGAUCAUAUUUCACAUGUGCCUGUCCCAGAGGAAUUCCUUAACUCUCCCUUCCUGGAACCGAAAUGCUUCCAAAGACAGAGAGCUCCUAUAUAUAUUUCUCUGUUUUCCCCAGAGGACCGUGCAUGAAAGGCGCCUUUCCUGGCGCGUGUGUCUCUGACCCUGUGGAUCUUCUGGACAAUUCCCGGAAUUUCUUGCAGGGCAGCACUUCCCCUUAAGUCGUCUCUUUCUCGUUUGGAUAGUCAGUAUUUGUAUAGUCACUAUUCUCUUUUGGUUAGCCGUCUAAUUUUAUACUGCUAGUCAAGCUCUACUCCCUUCCCCCUAGAGUUUGAAUUUAUUUUUCUUCAAACGCUACACAAACCCAAAUAAACUCAACCAAAGCGGACUUUACCUACCUUCCUACCUACCUACCAAGAAAAUAUCCCACAAAGGAGAGAACGGAGAAGCUUGCAAUACAGGAAGAAAAAAAAAGAAUUACAGAAUGGAAGGGAUGUGUGCGCUAAAAAUGCAGGUACUUAAAGGAAAUUGGGCUGAUUUGUACUGGACACCGAAUUUGAGGAAUACAGGAUCUCAAUCUUUCUUUGACUGGAUUACUUUUUUAUUCCAUUUUGGUGUGGACGCGUCUGAAACUGAUAGUGCUGCUGCUACCUACCAUAAUGUGUUUGUUGCAAGAUCCACAAGAACGUGGAUGCCAAGAAUCCACAAAAAAAAAAAAACAGAUGCGACCGUUGAUGAGGCCAUAAGCAGAAACAAUGUGCUAGCAGAAUGUGCUAAUUAGUAAAUAUCUUCUGCCCUGAGAAGAGAGAUGACACAGCAAGAAGAAGGAUGCUAAGUCAUACUCAGUUAAGAUUCUGCUGCUAGGAGCCAAAGCGUCAUUCUUUCCUCAUUCCUGUGACCAUCUGAGAGAAACCAGAACUAUGUCUCCCUCCUGCACGAAUCAGAGGACAUCCCCAUACAAUAGCCUGGAGUGAUUCCCGCCCCACCCCCCACCCCCAUCCCCACACCCCCACCCCCACUUUUUUAAAAAGGGAAUCCAGGAAUCGUCCUGCUUCCUGUAAGGAUCAGAAAGAAGGGGCAAAAUAGCACUGCAGGUGGAACUCUGAUCCCUUCCCAGGCUCACAGAAGCUUUCAGGUAACUGGGGCUUCUCGGGAAAUUAAAAGAAAAUUAAUAAAAUGAACCAGACUUACCGCCUUUUACUUGUGACUAUCUCAUUUAAUUCUCCACUGAACUGCAUCGCUUUGGUACUUCUAUUCCCCUCAUGUUACGUAAAAGGAAUGCGAGGCACAUACAGUUUGAAUUACUUCCCAAUUUCACACCCCUAGAAGGUGGCAGAACUGCCUGGUCAGUCCUGGAGUAGGAACAGAGCGCACAAAAUACAAGAGAUUCUCAACCCGCCAAGACCAAAUUCUGCAAACUCGACCAAGGGUCACUCACCUGGGGCCCAACCCCAUCUUCCACUGCUAGCCACGGAUGCUCUUCUUGAAGACAAGGAGGGCCACCGCCAGGCUAAACGAAACAUUGCUGUCUCAGGCCUCACUCAACUUCCUGAAACGAAUGAUGACCUCACUUUCAUGGAGCAGAAGUGACUGUACUUACCCACAAUUCCUGGAUUAUAACCCCAGAAUCCCCAAUGAGAUAAUCGUCACAGCCACGCCCUCCUGUAGCAGAAGCCUGGCCGCCUACACAGAGCUCCAAGGUUACUGCUCCCAGAAUCCUUGCAAAGAAUUGGCAAUGUCGUUGCCUUUCUCUGGCGGAGGGCUGGCUACUACCGUUUGAAUUUGGACUGUAUGUCACACAAUUCUAGAGCAGAAUGCAAACUCAGCACUGUCUUCUUUGAACCAAAAUGUCACCAAAAACAGGAUUCUAAUUUAUACUUAAUAUUUCCCCCAGAAGCCCAAUCAUUAAAGCCACCUUUCCUGGAACAGAAGUGUUUUUGACGCCGUGAAUCCUUUGGACCAGUUUCCAGAAUCCUCUUCAGGUAGCGCUUCUCACCAGCGUUUCCCUUUUUAUUUUGGAUAACUAGGUUCAGUCCGAAUCAUUCUAUCUCACUGGUCAAGCUCAGCCUUCUUUUUCCUUAUUCUCAUUUUUUUCUUUCACAUGUGACAAAACAAGUGUAUUUGAACGCCACUCCCACCCUGUCCCCCACCCAAUUCCCUUUAGUAGAGAACACAGUUUGAAAUGAAAAGGAGGCAUAAAUUAUAAAGGGGAAGAUAUGUGUGAGCUAAAAAUGCAGAACUUAGAAACGGGGCACGAAUGUAAGGAACACAAGAUCUCAAACCUACUUUGACUGGAUUUUCUACUUUAAUCCAUGUGUGUUGGAUGCAUCUAGAACUCUUGGCGGUGUUAUCAGAUAUAAGCUAUUCAUUCCAUGAUACAAGAACCCACAAGAAGGUCAUGCAAAGUUCAUUAAAGUAUAAAGCAGAAGCAGCAAAA